CCUCACAGCCUACAGAGACCCCAGCCCCGACUACACACAGCUGUGCAGAUGCAGCUGCUCUGCCUGUGGGUAUACAUGAGACUCAGAGCAACAACCUCCAAGUUCUUCCUGAUGUAACAGAGCUUGUUGAAUCCAGCCAAGGCAGCCCUAUAACCUACCCACCUGUUCUGAUGCAACUCCAAUGCCAGGGCGACAGUGCUUGUGCUGGAAUGACCCCACCUUCCAGCAUGAUCUGCUCCCUGCUGUUCGAGGCCAUGUCCUCAGAACCUGGUGAUGAUGAUGGUGCUCCCAGACUACCUGUCCUGGCAUAUUUCAGUGAUGAGGAAGACUAUCCGAGAAGCCCGUCACUCUGAGGGAAUAGCAGUCGCUAAUUAACAAUAUUCUUCUGUAAAUAGUUAUCAAAGUGUUAAUCUCUCCAGAAUAGUUUUAUUAAAUAUUGUUUAUUGUUAAAAUGUUUUUUUCCAGUUACUGUUCAUUUGAACAAUAUACCAUCCAUGUUGUCUGUCAAUAAAAAUGUGCCAUCUCGGGAAGAUGCCACACCCAUCUGAUGGUAA